GACGAACGCCGGCGGCGUGCUUAACACGUGCAAGUCGAACGGAAAGGCCCUGCUUUUGUGGGGUGCUCGAGUGGCGAACGGGUGAGUAACACGUGAGUAACCUGCCCUUGACUUUGGGAUAACUUCAGGAAACUGGGGCUAAUACCGGAUAGGAGCUCCUGCUGCAUGGUGGGGGUUGGAAAGUUUCGGCGGUUGGGGAUGGACACGCGGCUUAUCAGCUUGUUGGUGGGGUAGUGGCUUACCAAGGCUUUGACGGGUAGCCGGCCUGAGAGGGUGACCGGCCACAUUGGGACUGAGAUACGGCCCAGACUCCUACGGGAGGCAGCAGUGGGGAAUAUUGCACAAUGGGCGGAAGCCUGAUGCAGCAACGCCGCGUGCGGGAUGACGGCCUUCGGGUUGUAAACCGCUUUCGCCUGUGACGAAGCGUGAGUGACGGUAAUGGGUAAAGAAGCACCGGCUAACUACGUG
rnacentral:rRNA from 1 species